ensembl:snRNA U6 U6 spliceosomal RNA
AUGCUUUGGCAGCACAUAUACUAAAAUUGAAUGAUACACAGAAGAUUAGUAUGGCCCCUGUGCAAGGAUGACAUGCAAAUUGCUGAAAUGUUCCAUAGUAAA